UGGGUCUAAGGGUCCGUAGCCGGUUUGAUCAGUCUUCCGGGAAAUCUGACAGCUCAACUGUUAGGCUUCUGGGGGAUACUGUCAGACUUGGAACCGGGAGAGGUAAGAGGUACUACAGGGGUAGGAGUGAAAUCUUGUAAUCCUUGUGGGACCACCAGUGGCGAAGGCGUCUUACCAGAACGGGUUCGACGGUGAGGGACGAAAGCUGGGGGCACGAACCGGAUUAGAUACCCGGGUAGUCCCAGCCGUAAACGAUGCUCGCUAGGUGUCUGGGAUGGUGCGACCGUUUCAGGUGCCGCAGGGAAGCCGUGAAGCGAGCCACCUGGGAAGUACGGCCGCAAGGCUGAAACUUAAAGGAAUUGGCGGGGGAGCACUACAACGGGUGGAGCCUGCGGUUUAAUUGGACUCAACGCCGGAAAACUCACCUGGGGCGACAGCAAUAUGUAGGUCAGGCUGAAGGUCUUACCUGAAUCGCUGAGAGGA
rnacentral:rRNA from 1 species